rnacentral:misc_RNA from 1 species
GAUGAAGAACGUAGCGAAAUGCGAUAAGUAGUGUGAAUUGCAGAAUUCAGUGAAUCAUCGAAUCUUUGAACGCACAUUGCGCCCCUUGGUAUUCCAUGGGGCAUGCCUGUUCGAGCGUCAUUUGUACCUUCAAGCCUUGCUUGGUGUUGGGUGUUUGUCUCGCCUCUGCGCGCAGACUCGCCUCAAAACAAUUGGCAGCCGGCGUAUUGAUUUCGGAGCGCAGUACAUCUCGCGCUUUGCACUCAGAACGACGACGUCCAAAAGUACAUUUUUACACUCUUGACCUCGGAUCAGGUAGGGAUACCCGCUGAACUUAAGCAUAUCAAAAGCGGAGGA